rnacentral:piRNA from 1 species
ACAGGAAGAAAAGAUAUUUUGCUGCAGGA